CAGACGCCGCUGCGUAGGGGAGCCGCGGGGCCGCGUGGUCGGUGGCGGGCGCGCUCGGGUGGGUUCGCGGCAGAGGCCGGAGGGGCUAGUGGCGUGUGAUUGCGCUUCUCGAGAUCGAGGGGAAUGUGUGAUGAGCGGGUUGCGCGCGCGGGUGUGUGUGUGUGUGUGUGUGUGUGUGUGUGUGCACACGCCGCGCGCGCCGGGCGCGUACCUUUACCUCUGACGAAACUGCGGUGGAGCUCCCGCCGUCGUCGCCGGGCUCCGUCACACGCCCCGCGCCGGUGUCUGCGCCGAAGGCAGGUCCCAGCCUCAGUACCCCCAGAGCCGACAGCUUGGGGCUAGCGGGCACUGAGUGCGGGAGGAGGGGCAGAGUCACUCCUGGGAAGAUUCUGUCCCCAGAUCUCGAAAUUGCCCUGGGGCGUCUCCGAAUCUCUUGGCUGAAAAGCGGAUGAGAGAGGCCUGAAAUAGCCGGAGACUCGUUCAGGGACCCAUGUCAAGAACUGUCCGCUUUGGACUGUACCCCGGAUUUUAACUCGAUCUUCAGUGUUUGGCUCAGCAAUAAUUAAUUAUUUUGCCCUUUAGCCGCCCAGCGAGCCUAGCUAGCAGAAAUAUUUCAACUAAGGAAACUAGAAAAUUGAAUACUCAGGUGUUUGCAGGAGCAGUGCAGUGAAAGUUAAUCUGGGACAUUUGCUUUUUUUAUUUAACCACAUGACAGGCCGAGGAUCUUCUGGUGAUCUUUGCCGGCCCAACUUGGGAAAUGUAAUUGAUAGGAUGAGCUUUGAGCCGCCCCUAGAAGGCUCGGAGAGCCCAGCCGGAAGAGGACCUGGGCGGGCCCAGUGUGCUCCUCCUUAUUUUACAGCUGGAGAAAGAGGCUGCGAGGAGUGAGCGGCUUGUAUGGGACCAUGCAGCCAGAGGGUGACAGAGCCACCCAGGGCUCCUGACUCCAGGUCCUGUGUGUUACCUAGAAAUAGCACUGGACUUGGAGUCAGAAGGCCUGAGUGGAGUCACCUUCCCCACUCUCUGGCUGGGUGACCCCGGAGCAAGCCAUUUGAACUCUCCGAGCCUCAUUUCCUCCAUCUGUCAAAUGGGGCUGGUGGUGCCGCAAGAGAAUCCAAUGGCCUGGUGGUGGGGGUGAGCAGUGUUUGCAUGUGAGAUGUUCUGGUUGUUCCUGCAACCCCCUCUCCUCCCCCAAACUUUCCCUGACCCUCCCCUCCUUCAUCUCCCUUUGGGAGCUUUGGGGAAAGUGGAUUAAAUGGUAAUUCAUUGUCUUUGUCCCAAAAGAUUGUUGUUGUCUUUGGUGGCUAAUCCAGGGUUAGAUUAGAGGGAGGACUUCUGUUUAGGAGACUUAACUUUUACCCAUUGGGGCCAAAGUACGGAAAUUUAGCAGAACAAGGAUUGCGAAAGUUUCUUGGAAAGCUUUGAGGCAUGGAUCCCAAAGGACUGUGGGUGGCUUCACCUUUGUUCAGGCUAUGCCCCUGGCCCAGAGUACCCUCACUCACCCGUCCUGCAUGGCCUUCUCCUCUACUAGGCUCUCCCAGCCCAGCUUGCCCUGCUUUCUCUCCUUUGGUUUUCUGCAUCUGUGUGAUACAACCAAGCACUUUGUGUGAGUCUGGUGUCCAGUAAGAUUCUAGCACUAGGGUUGUACCUUUUAUCAUUGUGCCUGCAAGGCACCUGUCAGUAUGCUGAGCUGUGUUCCUUUGCUUAGCUCUUGGCUAGGCACAUGGAUUACAGACAGGGGUGCAGCUGGGUCCUGCCAAGCAGAAGCUCCCAGGCUAGCAGGGGAGACAGCUGGGCAGCGAGUGUGGGAGAGAGGAAUGCAGAGGGCUGCAGCUGUGGGCAAAAUUUUAGACCCCAAAGGCCACACAGCAAGUCCACACUAAAUAUGGGCUAUUUGAAGUUGCUUAGGGCAUCAGUCAUAGAUGCACAAAAUGUCAGAGUUGGCAGCGGGAAUGUUAGAAAUCAUCAGUUCUAACAACUUAUUUAAAAAUAUUUAAUUAUAGAAUUGUUAGAAAAUACUGCCAAGCAUAAAGAAAAAAAUGAGAAAUAUGUAACAUGACCCAAAGAUAACCACUUAAUUGUCAUGUAUAUUCCAGACUGUUUAUUUCCUGUUCAUAUAGAUCACAUCUUAUUUUUAAAAAAUGGAGUCGCCGGGCACGGUGGCUCACCCCUGUAAUCCUAGCACUUUGGGAGGCC
rnacentral:lncRNA from 10 species